GAUGAACGCUAGCGGCAGGCUUAACACAUGCAAGUCGAGGGGCAACGCGAGUAGCAAUACUUGGCGGCGACCGGCGCAAGGGUGCGUAACGCGUGAGCAACAUGCCCGUAUCAGGGGGAUAAUCCAGGGAAACUUGGUCUAAUACCCCAUAGUAAUUUCGUAAGGCAUCUUAUGGGAUUUAAAGCUUUGGUGGAUACGGAUUGGCUCGCGUGACAUUAGCUUGAUGGUAAGGUAACGGCUUACCAUGGCAAUGAUGUCUAGGGGUUCUGAGAGGAAGGUCCCCCACACUGGAACUGAGACACGGUCCAGACUCCUACGGGAGGCAGCAGUGAGGAAUAUUGGACAAUGGAUGGAAAUCUGAUCCAGCCAUGCCGCGUGAAGGAAGAAUGUCCUAUGGAUUGUAAACUUCUUUUGUAUGGGAGCAAUAAGGUAUUCGUGAAUACUGAUGAGAGUACCAUACGAAUAAGCAUCGGCUAACUCCGUGCCAGCAGCCGCGGUAAUACGGAGGAUGCGAGCGUUAUCCGGAUUUAUUGGGUUUAAAGGGUGCGUAGGCUGUUAUAUAAGUCAGUGGUGAAAUAUUCGGGCUCAACCGGGAUACUGCCAUUGAUACUGUAUAGCUGGAAUAUGGUUGCUGUGGGUGGAAUGUGUGGUGUAGCGGGUGAAAUGCAUAGAUAUCACACAGAAUAUCGAUUGCGAAGGCAACUCACAAAGCCAUUAUUGACGCUGAUGCACGAAAGUGUGGGGAUCAAACA
rnacentral:rRNA from 1 species